UCCACCGCCUUCUCUCUUCCAUUCUUUUCUAAUUCGACUUCUUCAUCUUCUUCAAACGAUUUCUCAUUUUCUUCAUUGAUCCAUAUCCAAAUCUAUCUGUGUUUAUGAUAACUUUUGAAACCCUAGAAACCGAUACGUAAACAACCGUUCGAUCAUCUGUGUUCUUCCUUCAAUGAUCUCGGCAACGAUUGGAACCCUAGAUCUCUAAAGCAACGAUUCGAAGAACGGUGCCGGAAUACUCUCUGGUCUCUCACAUGACUUCUACAAGCAGUGAAGCAGAGUGAAUGUUGAUGGAAGGAAACAAGAACUAAUUGAUGCUUCUGAAGCAAGUGUGUUUUUUUUCUGGUUUGCUGACACAAAGAAAGGUACAUCUUUACUGGUCUUUGUAUGCAACCAAAGGACUAAAUUCAGCUAGGAUAUGCGAUUUUGACUAUUAAGGAACUACACCAGCAUGAGUGAAAACAUUUUUUGCUCUUGACAUUCACCACCUUAUUUGUCUAGAUAGGAUGCAGGUCCACUCAUCAUUUGACAGAAUCAAUCAUGUUAAGGAUGCAAUCGUGCUCUCUAAUAUUGUUACAACGAUAUCACCAACAUAUGCACAAGCGUUGCGGACUUCACAGUUAGGGGUGUUUACCGGAUUUUCUUCGGGUUUCGGGUUUUCGGGUCAAGUAGUUCUGGUUUUUGUCUAGAAAAAACUGACCCGAUCACCAACCCAUUUAAAGCUCGGGUUAGUCGAGUUUGGAUCGUUCAAGCCAGGUUGUUCGAUUUUCGAGUUAUAGAUGUAAAACGAAAUUAAAUGUUUUUUUACAAAAUAUAAUCAAAAUUCAUAUUGCUACUUUAAGAACAUCAUCAAAGUUAUUAUGAUAUUUAAAAGUUUCAAAACUUGAUGUUCUAUAUAUUAAAGAGUCCUACCAAAACAUUUUUAUAAGAAAAAAACUCUAAAUAGUCUCAAAACUUAAUGUUCCAUAUAUUAAAGACUCCAUACCAAAAGAUUUCUACAAGAAAAAAACAAUAAAUUUUUAGUUUUAUUCGGGUUUUAUGUUUCGGGUUCGGGUCGGGUUGUUUGGGUUUUUGGCCUGAAAAAAGUAACCUGAACCGAACUAUUGAAAUAGUGGGUUGGUCGGGUUCGGGUUUUUCGCUAAAUCUGGUUCGGAUAAAAAUGAAGAGCCUUAUUCACAGGUAAUGAUAUUUCAUCAAAUUUAUUGCAUUCAGUGUAUAAAUAUAUAUAUACAGAAAUUUUAAUCUAUCAUACAAGUAGGAUAAGGGCUUCAUGAAACCAUUAAUGCUCAUGCUCAAAAGUGUGUUGGGAUUCUGAAUGGAAUUGAUACUGAUUAUUGGAAUACUUCUACCAACAGUUAUCUUAUACUGAAUGGGAUUUGUUUUUUCUCAAAAUCUUAUGCUACUAAAACAUGUUUUUAGAAUGAUGGAUUUGAUAAGGAGGUGGAACUACGAACACUUUUAGUUGAGGUGGCAAAGAAUUGAAGUUAUCGAUGUUGCAGCUGUGAAAAAUACAUGUCAAAUUUGGUGGCUGCUAUUGUUGAUAAGGACUGAUUAGUCUUGGGCAGAUCUGUCCAUUUACCUGUUACGGGUCGUAUGCGUCAAUUCUUGCAUUAAUCGGUUGCAGGUUCAGUAGACAACACUAUGUCACCUUCAGAAAAAGAUGGUUUAACCAUAUGGGAACAACAAAUGGUUUAACGUUAUGGGAAUUUGGGAGAUCUGGUAUUUUGAAGCCACUCUUAGGAUACUGACUUCCCUACGAGCAAUUAAAUGUGGCGUACUCAAAACUUAGAAGCGGUGAUACAUCUGCUAAGUCGGGUUUAUAAGAUGAUGAUAUGGCAUCCCCUAAAGCAAUGAGGAGUUAUUCACAACUUAGAUUGACUUAUCUUCUUGAAGAAGCGAACACAAUUUGAGCUACAAGGUAUCCUGGUCAGUUCUCAAUUCUCUAGAUACGAAGAAUGUGUUCAUAUGGUUAUUACAUUGAUGCUCAAAAUGGCCCGUCAUUGGUUAGUAAGCAUCGUACUUUGUGCUUUUACUUUUAAAGAACAAGAAAAAAAUUAUUUUUAUUUGCUACUAGAUGAGUAUCCUUGGUUGGAUUUUGUAAACCUCUAAAGAUGGGAAUUUGCUAUGUGUGUAUUUAUAUAAGGGUGUGCACAAUUUGGUUUGAAUUUUGGAUUAAUU